CUAUCUCCUUUUUACUAAAAUUUUUUGCCGGCACUCCUUUGGUUUCAGACAUUGAAGAGAGGAAACUGUUCCCGUGAGUGAUUCUUUUCCUCAUGCUUGCCUGAGCCACAGAGUGUGUUUUCUCACUCAAGUAAAAUUCUCAGCUGAUGGCGGAGAAGGAGCUUGGCUCUACACAGGCUUGUCAUCGGAAAUAAAUACCAAACUGGCACAACGAUGGCAAAACCGUGAGUGACAUCAGUACAUACAGUGCCCUGUCCUUCCAUCCUGUCACGUGCCUGACUAACAAACAGACGCAAAGACACAAAGCCAUUCGAUUCAAGUCUGGCAGGUGUGAGACAUAGAUCCAGGGCUCACGUACUACAGCUAGUUCAGGGUCCUGGAAUCCACUCUGUUAUGUCCUGCGGAGCGGCCAGGAGCUUGACUGAGAGGCAAAAACAGCUAGCAUCCUCAGGCUCUGCUCUCCAAGAACACACUGAAGAUCACUGAAGGGCUAGCAAGCCCUCUACGUGGGCUAGCAUGGAACAGAGAGGUCUCAACAAUUUGAAGGAACAUCAGGAAGUGUAAACCACCCCCCA
rnacentral:lncRNA from 1 species